AUUUUUGAGAGUUUGAUCCUGGCUCAGGAUGAACGCUAGCGGCGUGCCUUAAGCAUGCAAGUGGAACGGUCCGCCUUCCGCAAGGGAGGCGAGAUAGUCGCAGACGGGUGAGUAAUACAUAGGAAUCUACCCUUUGGUGGGGAACAACUUGGCGAAAGCCGGGCUAAUACCGCAUAAGAUCGCAAGAUGAAAGGGCGUAACUGCCCGCCGAAGGAGGAGCCUAUGGCCUAUCAGCUAGUUGGUGGGGUAAAGGCCUACCAAGGCGAUGACGGGUAGCUGGACUGAGAGGUCGGUCAGCCACAAUAGUACUGAGAUACGGACUAUACAUCUACGGAUGGCAGCAACUGGGAAUAUUGCGCAAUGGGCGAAAGCCUGACGCAGCGACGCCGCGUGGAGGAUGACGGCCUUCGGGUUGUAAACUCCUUUUGACAGGGAAGCCACGUGCAGUUUCAUGCACGUGGGGCGGUACCUGUAGAAUAAGCACCUGCUAACCACGUGCCAGCAGCCGCGGUAAUACGUGGGGUGCAAGCGUUAUCCGGAUUUACUGGGCGUAAAGAGUUCGUAGGCGUUUUCCUAAGUUUCGUUUGAAAUACCGAGGCUCAACUUCGGGACCGGACGAAAUACUAGGAGAAUUGAGUAAGCUAGGGGGUGCUGGAACUGAUGGUGUAGCAGUGAAAUGCGUUGAUAUCAUCAGGAACACCAAGGGCGAAGGCAGGCACCUGGGGCUAUACUGACGCUGAGGAACGAAAGCUAGGGGAGCGAAAGGGAUUAGAGACCCCUGUAGUCCUAGCCGUAAACCAUGCCCGCUUGAUCCUCGACCGGCUUGCCGGAUAAGGGUCGGAGCUAACGCGUGAAGCGGGCCGCCUGGGGAGUACGGCCGCAAGGCUAAAACUCAAAGGAAUUGACGGGAGAGUGCACAACCAGGGGAGCAUGUGGUUCAAUUCGAUACGAAGCGAAGGACCUUACCCAGAUUUGACAUGCAAUCGUACAUUCGUCCGGAAACGGAUGGAAAUCCGCAAGGAUGAUUGCACAGCUGCUGCAUGGCUGUCGUCAGCUCGUGCCGUGGGGUGUCGACUUAAGUGUCGAAACGAGCGCAACCCUUAUCGUAUGUUCGAUAGUCAUACGAAACUGCCUUGCCUAUAGCGGGGAGGAAGGAGGGGAUGACGUCAAGUCAGCAUGGCGCUUAUGUCUGGGGCCACACACAUCCUACAAUGGAUAGUAACAAUGGGUUGCGAAGCCGUAAGGCGGAGCUAAUCCCAUCAAACCUAUCCUCAGUUCAGAUUGAGGUCUGCAAUUCGACCUCAUGAAGAUGGACUUGGUAGUAAUCGCGGAUCAGCAGGCCGCGGUGAAUACGUUCUCACUCUUUGUACACACCGCCCAUCACGUCAGCAAAGUCGGCAGCACCUGAAAUUCUGAGUUUCUCGGGACAAGGGUGAGGUCGGCGAUGAGGACGAAGUUGUAACAAGGUAUCCCUAGCUGAAGCUGGGGAUGGAUCACCUCCUUU
rfam:Microgenomates (Amesbacteria) bacterium GW2011_GWC1_47_15 TX86_C0004, whole genome shotgun sequence.